UACGUAGGGUGCGAGCGUUGUCCGGAAUUACUGGGCGUAAAGAGCUCGUAGGUGGUUUGUCGCGUUGUCCGUGAAAACUCACAACUCAAUUGUGGGCGUGCGGGCGAUACGGGCAGACUGGAGUACUGCAGGGGAGACUGGAAUUCCUGGUGUAGCGGUGAAAUGCGCAGAUAUCAGGAGGAACACCGGUGGCGAAGGCGGGUCUCUGGGCCGAUAUCGACGCUGAGGAGCGAAAGCGUGGGGAGCGAACAGG
rnacentral:rRNA from 1 species